GAAUAUUUUCUAAUUACUGUAAAAGUUUUUCAAGUCGACUUGAAAUAGAACUUGGGGACUCGGUUUCACUUUCAAAGUCAACUUGAGUAACUUGGUUUGAAAGGAUAAGUUCGAAGUAUUUAACUUGACUUUUCCCCCAAGUUUUUCGCAAUAACUCAAGUUUUUAACUUGAAAAGUCGACUUCGUCAAGUUUUUGCCAUCCCUAGUUAUCAGUUAUGGACUUAUGGUCCAGCAGGCGGUUGCGCAGGCGGUUGGCCCUGCAGAUGGAAAUUUGGGAUUUGCCAACCGCCCGGGGGCGGUGGGAAAUUCCAAGGUAGUAACUGAUUAACACCACCGCCCUGCGGACCCUGACCAGGUAUAUGUGCCGGCAUUACCGCUCCUAAAGCUGCAUACAUAUACGGUGGGAGGCUGCAACAGGUUAAAGUAAAAACGAUAUAGUGGCAGUCUGUGGCACUGGUUAAAGUGAUCGGUUUGCUAAAUGCUAACGAAGUCAAGGUACAAAAUAUUCCUUCCUGGCUUCCGGCGGAUGUUUUUCCAGCCGCCCAGGGUGGCAUGCGCAGCUUACGCAGUUGACUGCGCCGUCUUCGCGUAACGUACGUACUAGAGACGAUUCAUCUCUUCAACUGCGAAGUGGGCUUCCUCCUCUCUUCCGUGGUUAACUUUCACUGCCAGCCUUCUGUUUCCCAAUGGAAUUGGAACAUCAUCUGCGAAAAGGCCUGCGGCCCAAAAACGGGCAAGCUGAAGCCGAAAAACCACUUCCAUUGGGUUGUCCGUGUUGGGAGGAAUAUUAUGUCCUGUAGAAGCGAACGUCUAUAACAGUACGCCAUGGUACUACGAAGUCGGUACGUAAAAAUUAUUUUAUUUAAACUCCCAGGCCGUACGGAUGCCAAGUUAUUUGUCAGAUAUGAAAGAAAAGUAAAGCUGGAUACUUACUAAUAUUAAGCAUUUGCAUCGAGCGCAGCGAAAUGUACAGACUAAUUUGUAAUAAAGAGCAUAAAAGUUUGUCUGACGCCCUCACGCCACAAAGAGCGUUACGUGACUUAAGUCCUACUUUUCCUAUUCCACAAGUCCAAUACCAUUUCCAAGUGGAACUGGAGCUCGCGCUCGUGCAACAAUGUGGUUAUCAACCACCCACCACCAGUCAAGAAGUAAAAGAUAGAUUGAAGUAAAAGACGGACUGCGAGCACAGCACUUAAAAGAGUUAGUAAAAGUACCUGGCGAAUGCGGAGAAGUGUUUUUAGCGGCGCUUACAAAGCUAGUGAACCACGUUGUCUUCAACCCGAUUCCCGAUAGCGUCCGCACAGUGCUUUUUGGCGCCACGCUGAUACCUUUCAACAAGAAAGCGGGCGGGAUACGGCCCAUAGCGGUUGGCUGCACCAUAAGACGCCUGUGUGGGAAAUUGAUUAGCAGACGCGUACAGACGGAACUGGGCGGCAUUUUUCGCCCAGUGCAGUUGGGCUACGGAACACCGGGAGGAGCAGAAGCAGCUGUACAUGCCACGCGGAAAUUUCUUCGAGCCCACCCAGCCAGCCCUACCGUGGUGUUGAAGCUCGAUUUUCGUAAUGCAUUCAACACCAUUCGUCGCGAUGUCGUUUUGAAAGAAACAGCUGACAAAUUACCGCAAUACUUCCAUUUUAUUUCCCAGUGUUAUAGGAAUUCUUCUACCUUGUUCUGCGGCGAAACUACGAUGCCAUCCGCCCAUGGGGUGCAGCAAGGCGAUCCCCUUGGCCCGUUACUGUUUUGCCUUGCCUCGUACAAGCUUGCAAAAAGUUUCCAGUCCGAUCUCAAUGCCUGGUUUCUCGAUGACGGGACAGCAGGAGGAGACCCAGAAGUGGUCCUGGAAGAUUUCAUCAGAGUUAGUAUUGAUGCGCCUAAGAUCGGUCUAGAACUCAACUUCGCAAAGUGUGAGCUCUAUGUUUAUGGCGGGUCUGAAGCGGAACAACAAGACAUAUACGACCGGUUUGCCGCAGUCGCACCUGGUAUUCAAAGGGUCACCCCAGAGACGUUGGAAUUGCUCGGUGCUCCCCUUACGGACUGGUCCAUCGGCCACUGCUUGGACGGUAAAAUUGGCCAAAUCAAAAAACUGACAGACUCAUUAAGCGUCUUGCCGGCGCAGCAAGCGUUAUUUCUCCUAAGAAACAGUCUGUCAUUGCCGCGACUUAUGUACACUCUAAGAGCGGCCGCUUGCUACAAAUAUGCGGAGAAGCUCAGGGAGUUUGACGAAGGAUUAGGUCAAAAGCUGAAGAGAUUACGAAUGUUGUGAUGGACGACUGCACGUACGUGCAAGCUUCUCUGCCGGUCAAAGCAGGCGGCUUGGGUUUGCCUAAAGCCGAAGAAAUCGCUACCCCGGCCUACCUCUCCUCGCUGUAUUCUACCGACGAGCUAGUACGUACUAUUGUGCCCGAAGAUUGCCCCGACGAGCGGUCUGAUGUUGAGCUGUGCUGGGAAGAACGUACAGGAAAGAGUGCACCUGCGAUGGAAGACCGGAGCAACCAACGCUUGUGGUCGGACAUGUUGACUGUUGGGAAACUGGAAGCUUUAAAAGAUAGCGCUGACGUUAUUGCCUCUGCUCGUCUGUUGGCGGCCUCUGCUAGGGAUGCCAGUGCCUGGUUGUUUGCAUUGCCGGUCGCCAGCCUUGGCACACUGCUGGACGAUGCCGGUCUGCGGAUCGCUGUUGCUUUGCGGAUGGGGGCGCCUAUUUGUAAGGAGCAUAAAUGUCGGUGUGGUGAAAUGGUUGAUACACGCGGCUUACAUGGAUUGUCGUGCGUCAAAAGCCAAGGAAGGUUCAGGAGGCAUGCGAGUUUGAAUAGCGUGAUUCAGCGUAGCCUGGGUUCAGCAAAGGUGCCGACAAUCUUGGAGCCUCCCGGACUGUGCAGACGGGACGGGAAGCGGCCAGACGGCUUAUCACUCUACCCAUGGAGAAUGGCCUCCCUCUGAUAUGGGAUGUGACAGUUUGUGACACAUUCGCUACUUCGUAUAUAGCUGGCUGUUCAGAAGCAGCGGGAUCGGCUGCCGAAGACGCGGAAGUGCGGAAGCGAAACCUCUAUUCCGAACUCACUGAUCGGCAUUUUUUCCAGCCAGUGGCACUCGAAACUAUGGGAAGUUGUGGCGAAAGUACCCGCCAGUUCAUCAAUGAAGUCGGCCGGCGUAUCAAAGAACAAACAGGAGAAGCGCGCGCUGUUCAGUAUUUGUGGCAACGUAUAAGCGUUGAAAUUCAGCGCGGAAACGCGGCUUCUGUCCUGGGGACGGUCGGGUGUUCUCGAGAGUUAGAAGAGUUAUUUUUCUUGUUCUGAUUACUGGGUAUUUAAAGUUUGAAUGUAAAUGGCAUUGGCUUGUACAAGUUGAUAAUAAAGAUAUUUUUAAAGAUAGAUAGAUAGAUUACUUACUUAUUAUUAGAUUAUUAUCUAUUACUUUUUAACUAGUAUAAGUACAAGUAUGUACUGUACCUCUCUGUAUAUCCAUGCUAUCUUGAUUUUAAAUUUUCCUUUCGAUUCACAAAUUUCGAAUCAUUAAUCCUGUUCCUCGCCUGCUUACCUUGGUAAUAAAAAAUUAUGUGUGAAGCAGCCAUGCCUGUGAUUCGGUGACUUCGGGUCUUAAAAGACCACUUCUGGACGAUUUUUACCACGUGAAUGAUCGUUUAUCAAGAUUUGAUCAGUUUGGGUCAGCGCUUUACCGGUCAUUUAUCCUUUAUGCGGGGUUAUAAUAUUAUGGCCUUUCACAAUGAAGUUCCCAACCAUCUUGAUCUCCCCAUUUCGGACAGCGCAGACAUGGACGCAAGUACAAUUAUCUUUUCCUCGCGUAUUGGGGGGCAUUUUGCGAGAUUUUCCUUAAUGUUUGAAAGCCUCUUGUGAAGAACAUUCGCUGAUAACACAAGGCAGGUGCUUGAUAACGCUAGUUUCAAUCUGCGUGGGAAAUUAUAUAUUUUUGUGCAGUUUGCACGUGGAGAUUAUAAGGAAAGUGGAAGUUCGUUCAAGGAAACAAGCAAAUUAGCACCCGAUCUUCGAACAUUUGGCAUACAAUACGACGAUCCCGAAACGACACCGUUUGCCAGCCGGCGCUACAUAGCAGGGACGAUCGUUGAAGAAGAACCACAUGUAGACUGGCAGUUCGAGGAAGCUUUAAAAGAGCACGGAUAUGAAGAACGUGAAAUCCCUCCGUUGAGAGUGUUACUGCAUUUGUCAUAUUUCCAUGGUGGAAAAAUUUAGUGUUGGAGAUGCUCAGCUGACCUGGUGAAGCCAUUCUUUUGCCAAACCUUUGGAAAGGUUGAUGAUUUGUAUGUGCUGUACGGUCUGGAAGCGAAAACGAUAAAGGCUACGAAGAUCUGCGUCCAGAAAGCGCCAGUAAAGACUGAAGAUGCUGAAACCGCGGAUGGAGUAUCCCGAGACGUACCCAAAGAUAGUGAAUAACGGUGUCAAAGACGGCUGUCAGAUUAUAAGUGGCGUUUGAGUAAAUCUCUUGAUGGUCUUUACCGAUCAACGCUUGUCUGUACGUUUCAACCAAGAAUUUUAUGAAAAUAUUCCAUGUAAAACGUGUCUUGAAGCAGAUUUUUAUAUUUUUAUGAAGUGAUAUUGUGCAAAGUUUAUGUUAUGGCGACGCGCCUAGUUCCCCAUUUCAUCAGUCUGUAUUUCAAAAAUUUCAAAGCCUCGGAUGUGCAGUGCAGUGGGAUAAAACCGCGGGCGA